UACGGAGGGGGCAAGCGUUAUUCGGAAUUAUUGGGCGUAAAGGGCGCGUAGGCGGCUUGACAAGUCAAAGGUGAAAUCCCUCGGCUCAACUGAGGAACUGCCUUUGAAACUGUCUGGCUUGAGGCCGGGAGGGGGUAGCGGAAUUCCCAGUGUAGCGGUGAAAUGCGCAGAUAUCAGGAGGAACACCGAUGGCGAAGGCAGGUCUCUGGGCAUUAACUGACGCUGAGGAGCGAAAGCAUGGGGAGCGAACAGG
rnacentral:rRNA from 1 species